rnacentral:rRNA from 1 species
UACGUAGGGUGCAAGCGUUGUCCGGAAUUAUUGGGCGUAAAGAGCUCGUAGGCGGUCUGUCGCGUCGGAUGUGAAAAUCCAGGGCUCAACCCUGGACCUGCAUUCGAUACGGGCAGACUAGAGUUCGGCAGGGGAGACUGGAAUUCCUGGUGUAGCGGUGAAAUGCGCAGAUAUCAGGAGGAACACCGGUGGCGAAGGCGGGUCUCUGGGCCGAUACUGACGCUGAGGCACGAAAGCGUGGGGAGCAAACAGG